rnacentral:rRNA from 1 species
GCAUAUCAAUAAGCGGAGGAAAAGAAACCAACAGGGAUUGCCCUAGUAACGGCGAGUGAAGCUGGCAUACAGCAUCAAAUUUGAAAGCUGGCCUUCGGGUCCGCAUUGUAAUUUGUAGAGGAUGCUUUGGGUGAAACGCCAGUCUAAGUUCCUUGGAACAGGACGUCAUAGAGGGUGAGAAUCCCGUAUGUGACUGGAAAUGUUAACCUAUGUAAAGCUCCUUCGACGAGUCGAGUUGUUUGGGAAUGCAGCUCUAAAUGGGAGGUAAAUUUCUUCUAAAGCUAAAUAUUGGCGAGAGACCGAUAGCGCACAAGUAGAGUGAUCGAAAGAUGAAAAGCACUUUGGAAAGAGAGUUAAAAAGCACGUGAAAUUGUUGAAAGGGAAGCGCUUGCAAUCAGACUUGUUUAAACUGUUCGGCCGGUCUUCUGACCGGUUUACUCAGUUUGGACAGGCCAGCAUCAGUUUCGGCGGCCGGAUAAAGGCUCUGGGAAUGUGGCCUUCACUUCGGUGAAGGUGUUAUAGCCCGGGGUGUAAUACGGCCAGCCGGGACUGAGGUCCGCGCUUCGGCUAGGAUGCUGGCGUAAUGGUUGUAAGCGACCCGUCUUGAAACACGGACC